rnacentral:rRNA from 1 species
GCCGGCGACGUGGAGCCCGCCCUCCUACUUCUCCUCUACCCCGCGCCACGAGGGGAGGACCAAGCCACGUGCUCCCUUCCUCCUCCCUAGAUGAGUUCUGCCCUCGACUCCGGCCGCCGCGGGAGAUGCGUUCGGAGUAGCCGCCAAGCCGCCCUCUCGAGGCUGGGCAGGUAUCCACGCCCCUGCGUCUAGGUGCAGCGGUAGGAUAUAUUCUUGGUCUUCGGCUCUACGUUUAUACGUUAAUUUGUGUCUUGGAAAUACACCAGACUUGUUCUACUUGUUGUACUCUCUUACCUCGCCCUUAGCCUUAGCUUACCUUUCGUCUCAAUCGCCGAGUCUAGUUGCUGUACUUGACGAGUUAAAAGGGAUAACAUAAUCGGGUUCCUACCUCAUAGAAAUAGGACGAGAGCGAUCACCCUAUGCUUUCCGCGAGAAGGUAGGUUAAGGAGCUGGGCCAGUUGGGUUCAUGUAACGUUUACCACAAACUAACAUCGCUUCGUAGUAACUUAAUUUACAUAAGUACUCAAUAUUUACAAUA